UACGUAGGGGGCAAGCGUUGUCCGGAUUUAUUGGGCGUAAAGAGCGUGUAGGCGGCCAGGGAGGUCCGUUGUGAAAACUCGAGGCUCAACCUCGAGACGCCGAUGGAAACCCCCUGGCUAGAGUCCGGAAGAGGAGAGUGGAAUUCCCGGUGUAGCGGUGAAAUGCGCAGAUAUCAGGAAGAACACCCGUGGCUAAGGCGGCUCUCUAGUACGGUACUGACGCUGAGGCGCGAAAGCUAGGGGAGCAAACAGG
rnacentral:rRNA from 1 species